rnacentral:rRNA from 1 species
AGUCGACGGGAUCUGACCAGCUUGCUGGUUGGUGAGAGUGGCGAACGGGUGAGUAAUGCGUGACCAACCUGCCCCAUGCUCCAGAAUAGCUCUUGGAAACGGGUGGUAAUGCUGGAUGCUCCAACUUGACGCAUGUCUUGUUGGGAAAGUGUUUAGUGGCAUGGGAUGGGGUCGCGUCCUAUCAGCUUGUAGGCGGGGUAAUGGCCCACCUAGGCUUCGACGGGUAGCCGGCCUGAGAGGGCGGACGGCCACAUUGGGACUGAGAUACGGCCCAGACUCCUACGGGAGGCAGCAGUGGGGAAUAUUGCGCAAUGGGGGAAACCCUGACGCAGCGACGCCGCGUGCGGGAUGAAGGCCUUCGGGUUGUAAACCGCUUUUGAUUGGGAGCAAGCUUUCGGGUGAGUGUACCUUUCGAAUAAGCGCCGGCUAACUACGUGCCAGCAGCCGCGGUAAUACGUAGGGCGCAAGCGUUAUCCGGAAUUAUUGGGCGUAAAGAGCUUGUAGGCGGUUCGUCGCGUCUGGUGUGAAAGCCCAUCGCUUAACGGUGGGUCUGCGCCGGGUACGGGCGGGCUAGAGUGCAGUAGGGGAGACUGGAAUUCCCGGUGUAACGGUGGAAUGUGUAGAUAUCGGGAAGAACACCAAUGGCGAAGGCAGGUCUCUGGGCUGUUACUGACGCUGAGAAGCGAAAGCGUGGGGAGCGAACAGGAUUAGAUACCCUGGUAGUCCACGCCGUAAACGGUGGACGCUGGAUGUGGGGCCCAUUCCACGGGUUCCGUGUCGGAGCUAACGCGUUAAGCGUCCCGCCUGGGGAGUACGGCCGCAAGGCUAAAACUCAAAGAAAUUGACGGGGGCCCGCACAAGCGGCGGAGCAUGCGGAUUAAUUCG